GACGAACGCUGGCGGCGUGCUUAACACAUGCAAGUCGAACGGAAAGGCCCUGCUUGCAGGGUACUCGAGUGGCGAACGGGUGAGUAACACGUGGGUGAUCUGCCCUGCACUUCGGGAUAAGCCUGGGAAACUGGGUCUAAUACCGGAUAGGAGCCAUUUUUAGUGUGAUGGUUGGAAAGUUUUUUGGGUGUAGGAUGAGCUCGCGGCCUAUCAGCUUGUUGGUGGGGUAAUGGCCUACCAAGGCGGCGACGGGUAGCCGGCCUGAGAGGGUGGACGGCCACAUUGGGACUGAGAUACGGCCCAGACUCCUACGGGAGGGAGCAGGGGGGAAGAUUGCAAAAUGGGCGCGAGCCUGAUGCAGCGACGCCGCGUGGGGGAUGACGGGCUUCGGGUUGUAAACUCCUUUCGCUAGGGACGAAGCUUUUUGUGACGGUACCUAGAUAAGAAGCACCGGCUAACUACGUG
rnacentral:rRNA from 1 species